GACGAACGCUGGCGGCGUGCUUAACACAUGCAAGUCGAACGGAAACGCCCUGCUUUUUUGUGAUGCUCGAGUGGCGAACGGGUAAUUAACCCGUAAGUAACCUGCCCUUGACUUUGGGAUAACUUCAGGAAACUGGGGCUAAUACCGGAUAGGAGCUCCUGCUGGAUGGUGGGGGUUGGAAAGUUUCGGCGGUUGGGGAUGGACUCGCGGCUUAUCAGCUUGUUGGUGGGGUAGUGGCUUACCAAGGCUUUUACGGGUAGCCGGCCUGAGAGGGUGACCGGCCACAUUGGGACUGAGAUACGGCCCAGACUCCGACGGGAGGAAGCAGUGCGGAAUAUUGCACAAUGGGCGGAAGCCUGAUGCAGCAACGCCGCGUGUGGGAUGACGGCCUUCGGGUUGUAAACCGCUUUCGCCUGUGACGAAGCGUGAGUGACGGUAAUGGGUAAAGAAGCACCAGCUAACUACGUG
rnacentral:rRNA from 1 species